AUGUGUCUUCUCCCAGCUUCACAUAUUUUUAUUUCGUUUUUGAAUUCUUUCUUUUUUCUCUUCCCUCCACAGCUAUCAACUACCAAUAGAUCCUCACUAAAAGGAUUCUAUCAUUGACAGGGAAACCAUCUUCCCUGUCAAUGAUAGAAUUUGAACAAGCUUGACCUUAAGUAGGACUUGUGCUGGUAUCCACCACCAGUGUGAGUUCACAAAGGCUAUAACAAUGUCAUGUUCAGAAGGCACUAUUUCACGAUACUGUUUCCCAUUUCCCAGUCUUCAAAUUCUUUCCAUUUCCUUUCAUGUGUUGUUCCCUAAGCAAUGCCAGAUUUUGUAGAGAGUUUAAUUAAGAUGAAUGCUUUGAAACUAGGCAUUCAGUUUUUACAGAGUACCUUGUCUAGUUAUGUGUCUUUGGCCUCGACUACUGUCCACAGCAAGAAUAAGCUUCUCUGACCAAGGUUGGGAGCAGAAUAGUCCUGAGUCAGAUUCAGUUCUCACCCUGGGUCCCAGGCUUCCACAGUGAGACCACAGUAAAUUUUGAAAAAUCCUGUAGCAUAUGAGCAUCUUAACUAGAGUCAUAUCUAAUUCCCAUUCUGUGUCCCCAGCUUUUCUAGAUCCAUGUUUAAACACGAGACUAAGUAAAUAAGUUUUGAAAGAGCUUACAUAGAUAUUGGAUAAUAUUAAAUUAAAAAAUACUCAAAUAUGAUGAAGGAAAAGUUUUAGUGCAACCCAUAGUCUGCCCAACCCCUUCAUUUAAGAAGACGUGAAAUUAAGUAGAAAUAUACAUAGAAAAUUAUUCAAAAACUUUCAUGGCAAAACGAGUUAGUAGAUUAAAACUAGAAUCUACUUUUCAAAACUACAUUUUUUCCACCAAAAGGAGCAAGAGAAACCUAUUGUUUAACUAAAGGAGGCAGAUAACAGCACUUUGGGUUAGCCAUGUAGUAUUUCAGAGUGCUAUUGUCUGGGUUUGAUUUUCACAACUAUGGAAAGAAAACGGGGCUUGAUUUCCAGAACUAUGGAAUGCAAACUAAUUCUAAUAUUCUACACUGUCCACAAGGUCUUAAGUUAUAGGAACUUUUCUCAUCAUUAUUUUCAUCUAUUUCUUUUCCACCAUUUUACCAUGUCUUCCUUAAUAAGCCACUGAUGAGCUAGUUGCCUUGAGUAUCUUUCAACAGUUAUUGUUAUCUUGAAAACUUCUUUGCAUAGACACAAUUAAAUUUUAUUUCAUGAGACACUGUCACAUAUAGUCCUGAUGAUGCAUUUGAAUAUUUCUAACAUUAGAGACUCACUUAAAGUCAUGGUAUAUAUUUCAGGAGAUAUAAAUUCAAUUCAACAAGUUGUCUUUUUAAACCUUCUUAAUAGAGCCAAAUGUCAUCUUAUUCAUGGUCAAACUAUUGGCAUAAAACAUUAAAAUGAAUCCUCCUGCUCAUGAUUCUAAAGAAAAUAAAUACCACAUAGACAACACGACAUAGAUGGGGAUUGGAAAAUCACUUUUUUGCACUGAUUGGAGCAUAUGGUAGCUUUGCUUUGCUUGAGAGAACACAGUUUCCUCCAAGUCUGCAUGUUCUUAAUGAGUCAAUAAUAUGGUGCACACCAUAAAACGGUAACUUCAGGCAUUGUAGUAAGAAGCUAUCAAUGACAACAUACACACUGUACAAUUACAGAGAAACUAACAGUUGAGAAAGCGGCACAAUCUAAUGAGAACCAUGUACUAUUUGGGGCAUAUUUAACAUCUCUUAGCAUUUAAAGUCCACAUAUUUCUGAGCAAAACAAAUGUGACAUUUAUUUGUUUGGGUGAGUUGGUUAGGUCAAAUCAACACUAAUUUAUCAUUCUCUACAUAAAUGCAAAAUGGAAAAUCUUAUCAAUAUAUGUCUACAAAACAGAUGCCCAAACUCUCCAGAUCUUUACACAAAAAAUAAAUUUGAGGGCUUAAUACAUUUUAGAAACCAACAGUCUAAGAGCAUUUCUGAGAGGCUCUUCUGUUCUGCCUGUGUUCCUAUGUUAGAAUUAAAUACCAACAUGUAAAAUAAUUACAUUUUUUCUUAAAAUCACUUUUGUCAAUAUAUAUUGUUCCCUUUCUGUUUAUAUUUUGUUAUUACUUUGUGUUUGUUAAUUUGUGAGCCUUGGUUAUUUAUCUGAGAAUAAAAAUUAUUUUAUUUAGAAUUGGACCAUUGUCUUUAGACAGGAGACCAAUCUUUGAAAUGUAUUAUAUGCAUGGAUCUUUUCUGCUGCAAUAGUAUACAGUAUUAUGGCUUUCCCCUUCACCAACUAGGCCCUUAAAAGAGGGGAUGAACCCACAGUCCUUCUGCCUCCCUUCUCUGGGCCUGUGUUGUGGAAUUGAGUCAUCAUUGUUCAAUGGAAAACAAACAAGAGUACAAACAAAAGCAAAAGCCAAAACAAGUGUACCAGGGCCUCAUGCUUUCAAAGGGUAAGUUAGAACAGAAAUAAGAAAUAAAUAUUUGCUUUAUAUUUCCUCAAUUGGACAUGUUUGGACAUAUUCAUAUUACUUUACAGUAUUUUUUUCUUUAUGUCAUGAUAUGAAGAAGCACAUGCAUAUUAAAAAUUGCAAUUUAACAAAAGAACAUCCUUAAUUGUUGAAAUAAACUUUAUAUGGUCAAGUUGAGAGUGAACACAAUGUUGCCACUUUGUUUAGGUAGUUUAUAACUAUUUAAAUGUUUCUUGCACUGAAAUGCAUUGGCAUCAUAUUUAUAGUGCAUUCAUGUAAUAGUUCCAAAACUCUUCCACUUACUUCACUUCUCUGUAUAAUUUUUAUGUCAAGGAAGUACUGAUUACUGAAAAUUUCAAAGAAACCACUUUAAAGCCACAUUGAUCUUAACAUUUUACCUAAGUUCCUAGUUUCAUCUGUAGUUAUCGAUAUUUGAAGUCUUCCUAAUUCUAUUCUCACCAAUUUUUUUCAGCCACAUAAUUUCAGAAAAUUGUCACACUCAGUGUUUUGCUUUAUUCCACAUAUUUUUAUAUCAAAAAUAUUUUCUUAGCAGUUGGAUCUUUUUUCUCACAAUACAUGAAUAAAGCUCUGUUUGUGCUUUCCUUUUUUUUCUCCUUCUGUUACAAAAGCAUGAAGCUUGUUUGUCUGUCCUGUCACCUCACCUUCAGUGCUCUCCUGGUUUAUGGCUGAUUGAUCAAUUAAUUGACAACUUCUGUGGUCCUUCUGCUUUGUUCUGUUUUGUUGUCUUCUUUCUUUUCUUGAGUUCCUUGAUUCUUUCCUUUAUUUCUUCUUUUUGUGCUUAAGAAUAACAAAUUUCAAAAUAUGAGAUCAGUUUUAAUUUUUGAUCUGAUUUUCUCUCCUGCAUUCUUAAGAAUUGUAUGCAGGGCUCCACAUCAGACAGUGAAGUGGGCUACCACUGAGGUAGAUGCCCAUUCCUUGCCCCGGCUCAGCUACAUACACACACACACACACACACACACACACACACACACACACACACACACACACAUAUCUUGAUUGCCUAAACCUUGUCUUGCUUUUGUCUUUUCAAUUUGGACCUAUUUUCUUUAUGCAUGAAAGCAGGGAGAUAUUAUGGCAGGAGAAAUUAAAGGGACCCAUUGUCUAAAAGAGUACUCCAGCUAAGCCUCCAACCUGUUAUUCUGCUUCAGCCCCCCGAAUAGGAGGAAUUAUAGUAGACAUUAGCACUCCUAGUCUCUACAGUUGUGUGUGCACACCACUGUGAUCCCCCUUAUUCCACUGAAUUUGGAUGACAUCAUUCUCACUUAGUUUUCAUUUCUGAUCUUCUUACAACAGUCUUUAGGUCUGAUCUUACAAAUAGCAUUUUGGUUGAUGUGGGUGAACCAGUCUGCUAACCUACUUCUUUCCUGAUAAUUCUUUGCCAUUCCUUAUGCAAGCUCUGCUUUUGUCACCUAUAUAGUUGAAUGUAAAAUAUAUGUUCAUAUAGAUAGGUAUAUCAUAUCACAUGUCUAUGUCACAGAUUCUCUAUCUACUGGCUCACAUGGUGCUUUUUUUCCUUUUAGACAUAGUGAUUUUGAGUAAGGAUAGAGGACAUGGUGACAAAAAUAAUUGAAGAAGUGAAAAAUAAUGACUAUUUAGAACAUUUAUUGAAUGCUCAUGCACCAUUGGGUUUCCAAAGUUUUUCCAGUUUUACUAACCACAAUAUAUAAUUGAAUUCAUCAUCCAUCCCAGGGUUGAUUUAUGAGGACUUUGAAAACAUUACGUAAAAUGUUUUAGGAAUAUAUUCAUAUAUAUUCUUAGAGUUUGCUUUUGCAAACUACUGAAGAUGAUUGAUAAUAAAGAUGCAAAACUAUUGAAUAUUGCCAUUAAAAAUACAUAGUGCCUUUAUCAAUAGCUAUACCCAAUAACAUAUAGAUAGAUAUAGAUAUAUUAACUAUAGUUUACUAGAAGC
rnacentral:lncRNA from 1 species